rnacentral:rRNA from 1 species
GAUGAACGCUGGCGGCGUGCUUAACACAUGCAAGUCGAACGAAGCAUUUGCGACAGAUUUUUUCGGAAUGAAGUUGCUUAUGACUGAGUGGCGGACGGGUGAGUAACGCGUGGGUAACCUGCCUUGUACUGGGGGAUAGCAGCUGGAAACGGCUGGUAAUACCGCAUAAGCGCACAAUGUUGCAUGACAUGGUGUGAAAAACUCCGGUGGUAUAAGAUGGACCCGCGUCUGAUUGGCUAGUUGGUGAGAUAACAGCCCACCAAGGCGACGAUCAGUAGCCGACCUGAGAGGGUGACCGGCCACAGUGGGACUGAGACACGGCCCAGACUCCUACGGGAGGCAGCAGUGGGGAAUAUUGCACAAUGGAGGAAACUCUGAUGCAGCGACGCCGCGUGAGUGAAGAAGUAAUUCGUUAUGUAAAGCUCUAUCAGCAGGGAAGAUAGUGACGGUACCUGACUAAGAAGCUCCGGCUAAAUACGUG